rnacentral:lncRNA from 1 species
GGACACCGGGGACACCCCCAGGACCCUACCGGGACCCCCACGGACUGAGAAAGUGGGGGAGAAGCUGUGGGGGGGAGAAAAUGGAGGGGGGGGGACACCCCGCCAUGGACUGAGGGGACCGACGGACUGAGGAGUCCCCGCACGGACUUUUUGAGGGGCUCCGGGGGGGUGCCCCGUUUUCUUUAAAGAAAAAAAAAAAAAAUAACCAAAAACCGAGAGAACUGAAAGGGGGGGGCCUCGGAUCGGUACCGGGGUGAGGACUGAUUGAUGGCCGGGGGGGGGGUCCCCGGUUUGGCCCCGUUGAGGCCUCGGCCCCGCCGCGGGCCCCGCGUCCGCCACAUUCCAAGGAGGCCCCAAGGACGAGUGCCAAGCUGCUGGAGCCCCGGCAGGAGGUGGGGACCUGUUCCGAGCCGUGCCGAGCCAAGAACACCCCGGUCCCUAUGGGGUCAGGGCAGGGCCUGGCACCCCGUGGCGGUGCCGUGGGGAGCGCAGCCACCCCAGGGGACCUGCGGUGGCACCGAGCCGAGGCUGCUGCCUGUUUGUGGGGAGGAAACGGCCCCAAAACCGGCUGUGCCGUGCCCCAGCCCUACAGCUCCGGCACGGGGCAGAGCCUACACGGCGCCACGGACGCCUCCCGCAGCGGGUACGGUGUCACCGGUGUCACCCACAUCCCCGUGCUUCGUGUCCCCGUGUCCCCACAUCCUCGUGUCCAUGAGUCCCUACAUCCCCAGAUCCCUGUGUCCCCAUGUCCCCACAUUGUUUGUCCCCAUGGCCCUGUGUCCUCAUAUCCCCAUCCUCCUGUGUCCCCAUAUCCCACAUCCCCAUGUCCCUGUGUCCCCACAUCCCCACAACCCCAUGGCCCUGUGUCCUCCGACCCCAUGCUCCUCAUGUCCCCAUGUCCCCACAUCCCCAUGUCCCCCAGUCACGUCCCCAAGCCCCCAUACUCCAGUGUCCCCGUGUCCCCACAUCCCCCUGCCCAUGUCCUCACACCCCAUGCUCCCCAGUCCCCAUGUCCCACAUCCUCGUGUCCCUAAAUCCCCAUGCUCCUGUGUCCCCAUGCCCUGCAUCCCCAUGUCCCCAUCAACCCCGUGUCCAUGUACCCACACCCCAUGUCCCCCAGCCAUGUCCCCACGCCCCCAUUCUCACAUGUCCCCAUGUCCCCAAAUCCCCCUGCCCGUGUCCCUACAACCCCAUGUCCCCCAGUCACCUCCCCAUGCCCCCAUUCUCCCCUGUCCCCACGUCCCCACAUGCUUGUGUCCCCA